GGCUGGUUCGAGUGCAGUGGUAUUUACAACUGAUUUAUUAUAACCAGGUACAGAUUUCUUUGUUCCCUCUCCACUCCCACUGCUUUAUUUAAACUUAAA
ensembl:Y_RNA Y_RNA Y RNA